CCUUUUUAAUGCCAAAAGGUCAAAAAAGUUGAUGGCUUGAUGAUCAGAGAGAUGGUGAUCGAAGCCCUAGUGAAUAGUGACCGUAACUAUAACGGUUUUAAGGUAACAAAAUUCCUUGUCAAAUGAGUUUCGAUCCGCACGAAAGG
rnacentral:rRNA from 1 species